rnacentral:rRNA from 1 species
UACAGAGGUCUCAAGCGUUGUUCGGAUUUAUUGGGCGUAAAGGGCGCGUAGGCGGCGGGUAAGUCGGGUGGUGAAAUCUCAGGGCUCAACCCUGAAACUGCACUUGAUACUGCUCUGCUUGAGGGACUGGAGAGGAGACUGGAAUUCACGGUGUAGCAGUGAAAUGACGUAGAGUAUCGUGAGGAAGACCAGUCGGCUGAAGGG